CAACGGACAACAGAUGAAAGGCUACGGUAUGAAACACACACACACACGCACACACACACAAAAAUUGUCAUUACAGUAUCAGAGUUUAAUUUUCCUUCUUUCUUCCUCACAAAACAUUGGAAUCUCUAUGCAGCAGGAGGAAGUAGACCUAUUAAAGGAUAUGGACGACCAUUUUAUGGCUCAGGUCCAGGUGUGACAACGGGAGGCUACGCAGGUAUGGGAGCACCUCAGCCAAGGAACCAAGGAUACAAUGGUGGUUACGGCAGCGCUGGUUUGGGUCUGGGAGCUCGCUUUGGAAAUGGAGGAAUGAAAGGACCAAAGCUUGGUAGGCAUUCUUAUUAUUCUUGUUAUUAUUAUCUGAUCAAAGAGCGAUACAACCUUUGCAGAACAUGCACCAAAUUUGAUAGAUUUUUCUUUUUUUAAAGUGAUUUUAUAAGAAUAUUAGAGACAUUGUCUCUUGCACAAUUGUCUCUUGCACAAAGACAAAAACAAAACCACUCUGGAUCUGUCUGUAAAGCAAAGACAAAUGUGGUUUUGUUUUUCCAGGUUACGGGAAUAUUCCAAAUGGGUAUGGCGCCAGAUCCAACGGUGAGAUUUUUUUUUU
ensembl:lncRNA